rnacentral:rRNA from 1 species
UAGAUACCCUAUUAUUUUGGAUUUAAAGGUAUAAACUUGAGUAGUAUUAGAUAUGAUCUUGAAACUUAAAGAAUUUGGCGGUAUUUUAGUCUAGUUAGAGGAAUCUGUUCCAUUAUCGAUAAUCCGCGUUGAACCUUACUCAGUAUAAUUUAAUAUGUAUACCGCCGUUUAUUUGAAGAUCUUUUUAGGGUUAAAUUUUCUUUAAAUUUUAAUUGAUUUUAUUUCAGGUCAAGGUGCAGUUUAUAAUUGGGUGGAAAUGGAUUACAAUAUUUAUAAAGUAAACGAAUUGAAAUUUGAAAGUAUUUUAUGAAGGGGGAUUUAAUAGUAAUUAAUAAUAAGAAUUAUUUUUGUGAUUUUAGCUCUAAAAUGUGUACACAUCGCCCGUCACUCUCGUUAUUAAGAUGAGAUAAGUC